AUGGGGCUGAGGCAGUGCCAGAAUAGCUGCCCCCCAGCUGCCUUGAUGCCUGAAAUUGCCCCAUCCCAGAGCUGCGCCCAGACUACCUGUGAGCACAAAGAACACUGGCACCAAAAGGCCCAGGUUCAAGGCCUGGCUCGGGCGUAUCCCAUAUCACAGGGGGUUGUGGCUAGUGUUCUCUCUCUGACUCUCCAGGGAGGCUGGGGGCUGUGUCCCUGCCAGCAGGCCAGCUUCCACACGACGGGCUCACUCCAUCGCCUCAUGCUGUCUGAUCUGUUCUCAGUGCCACCUUUUCUGCAUGGAAGGAGAUCAUGAAAUGUAGGACGGAAAACACAAAUCAAACCCCAGGUUGCCAAGGGGAUGCAGAGCAAAGGAAGACAGGUGGAAACGAUGAGGCGGCCUUCCGGCACAGGUUGGCCAUGGGUGAUGUGCAAAGCUGUCUUCACACCUGCUGUUUCGUUUGAUCUUUAAAGCAAGCCUGAAAACCACAGAGCGCUGCCCCCAUGUGUGGGUGGGGACACUGAGGCACGUCAAGGGAGCUGCACAGGGCCCCACUGCUGGAGAGUGAAGUGUUUGCCUGGAAGAUGCCCCCAGGGGAUCAAAGCUGACAUGCUCAGGGUGUGACGGUGUCUGGAGGGACGCAGGUAGAGCUGCUCUGCAUGAAACGAGACCAACUUCCUCCUGAGAAAUGGGGGACAAAGGCGAGAGCAGAGCUGGCGAGGUGCUCUGUCCUUGUGGCCUUUGACUCCUCCGUGGCAUUUGACCCAAGAGACCAUUUCCUCCUUCUGGAAACGCCAUCUCCCCCAGGCUUCUGUGACUCCCUCCGUGGCUGGUUUCCUUCCUACUUCACAGACCAAACACCAAUGAGGAAAAAUUCUAGAACUUCCUAUUGUGAAACGGAGGCUCAGAAUGUCUAAGGGAUGACCCUGCUCAUCACAUAAUGGAAGGAUGCUGGAUUUAAAUCACAGUAAUUGGUAUGUUUGUCCAGCACCUAGGGGGUGCUGGGCCCUGAGCAUUUUCUGUGAGCUGAGCCAUCUGGUCCUCACCACAACGCAGGAGGGGGCUGCCAUUAGUCUCACCACUUGAGAGCAAAGGAAGCUGCCCCCUGGGGGAAGGGACCCACCUGAGGGCACGUAGGAGGCGGGUAGAGGAGCUGGAACGGGAGGCGAGUUCCGUGUGAGUCCACAUCGCUGGAGGGAACCAAGCACCAGGAGACGACCCCUUGACGGGGUCACUGCUUUAGGGACCCGCUCAGGACAUCGGGGCAUGAGGUCCUGUGACAGGGAAGACCCUCCCCCGAGAUUCCAGGAGGCUCCCCCAGAGAGACACUCUUCCCUCAUGCGUCUGUGUUGGCAGCUGCUACCUUUGCUCUCUGAAUCACUGUUUUCAGACUUCAUCACAG
rnacentral:lncRNA from 1 species